AUACGUAGGUGACAAGCGUUAUCCGGAUUUACUGGGCGUAAAGGGCGUGUAGGCGGUCUUGCAAGUCAGAAGUGAAAUUCCUGAGCUCAACUCGGGCGCUGCUUCUGAAACUGCAGGACUUGAGUGCUGGAGGGGAUAGCGGAAUUCCUAGUGGAGCGGUAAAAUGCGCAGAUAUUAGGAAGAACACCGGUGGCGAAGGCGGCUAUCUGGACAGUAACACACGCUGGGGCGCGAAAGCGUGGGGGGAAAACAGGAUUAGAUCCCCUGGUAGUCCACGCCGUAAACGAUGAAUACUAGGUAUAGGGGGUAUCGACUCCCUCUGUGCCGCAGUUAACACAAUAAGUAUUCCGCCUGGGGAGUACGGCCGCAAGGUUGAAACUCAAAUGAAUUGACGGGG
rnacentral:rRNA from 1 species